rnacentral:rRNA from 2 species
AGGUGCCAUCAUACCAGCACUAUUGCACCGGAUCCCAUCAGAACUCCGCAGCUAAGCGUGCUCUGGCGAGUGUAGUACUAGGAUGGGUCACCUCCUGGGAAGUCCUCGUGUUGCACCUC